UACAGAGGGGGCAAGCGUUGUUCGGAAUUACUGGGCGUAAAGGGCGCGUAGGCGGCCUGCUAAGUCGAACGUGAAAUCCCCGGGCUCAACCCGGGAACUGCGUCCGAUACUGGUGGGCUUGAAUCCGGGAGAGGGAUGUGGAAUUCCAGGUGUAGCGGUGAAAUGCGUAGAUAUGUGGAGGAACACCAAUGGCGAAGGCAGCCCCCUGGGUCAACACUGACGCUCAUGCACGAAAGCGUGGGGAGCAAACAGG
rnacentral:rRNA from 1 species